rnacentral:rRNA from 1 species
CCUACGGGGGGCAGCAGUGGGGAAUAUUGCACAAUGGGGGAAACCCUGAUGCAGCGACGCCGCGGGAGUGAAGAAGUAUUUCGGUACGGAAAGCGCUAUCAGCAGGGAAGAAAAUGACGGUACCUGACUAAGAAGCACCGGCUAACUACGUGCCAGCAGCCGCGGUAAUACGUAGGGGGCAAGCGUUAUCCGGAUUGACUGGGUGGAAAGGGAGGGGAGACGGCAGCGCAAGUCUGAAGUGAAAUCCCAUGGCUUAACCAUGGAACUGCUUUGGAAACUGUGCAGCUGGAGUGCAGGAGAGGUACGCGGAAUUCCUCGUGUCGCGGUUAAAUGCGUCGAUAUUAGGAGGAACCCCAGUGGC